UGAGAAUGUGAUUUGAAAAGGAGUGAUCAAACCAUAGAAAAUACGGACAUUUUCGUCAUCGGAAAUCACAAUAACAAAUCACGUGACAUCUGUUGCCUAGGAAACGCUGUGAUAUUUUCCUUCAGGUGAAUGGAAUGAGAACAUUAUGCACGAACUUUUCAGAUAGAAUAAAAAAGAAACGGGUCACAUUUGAGAGAUCAAACUGUGUUGAACAAAUUUUAAAAUCGACUUGUGCAACCACAUUUUAUUUAUUUUAAUGCUUUAACUCAUUUUGAGAAAAUCGCAAAAUACGAAACAAUAAUGAUAAUAAAAAAACCCCAUAUCAUUCACAUUUUUGUAAUAGAUUAACGAAAAUAAUUAUUGUGACAAGUAUUUCUGCAAGUUGAUCUAUUUCAAAAGAGGCAUACAUCAUCCCAAGACAGUUUUAAAGAGAUAUUUGUUGCGGGUGCAUAACAAAUGCAUCGGCGCUUCGAGCUUUGAUGUGAAAGAAGAAAUAAUUGUGAAGUUGAAUGUAACAACCGAAGCUACUUGCACAUCAUCAUCAGCAUCAUAAUCAUGAUCAACAUCACUACCAUCAUCAGUCCAGAGUGAUCAUGGAAUCCUUUCAAAUGCAUCCCAACAAACCGGAAGUCAAGGGCAUGAGAGUAUACACGAUUCAUUACCUACCAAAAAAAACGGGCUAAAUUAAACCGAGCCUGCUUCUCCAGAUGAUCUACAUAUUAGCCAGAUUACCAACAUGUGUAAACUAAUAAGUUCGAAUUAUUAAUAUAUGUAUAGGUAGUCACUCAUAUGUAUCCUUUAAUCAAUAUUUGAGCCGCACCAUGAGAAAACCAACAUAGUGCAUUUGCGACCAGCAUGGAUCUAGACCAGCCUGAGCAUCCGUGCAGUCUGGUCAGGAUCCAUUUUGUUCGCUAACGGUUUCUCUAAUUGCAGUAUGCUUUGAAAACGAAUAGCAUGGAUCUUGCGCAGGCUGGUCUGGAUCCAUGCUGGUCGCAAACGCACUAUGUUGCUUUUCCCAUGGUGCGGCUCAAUUUUUAAUUCCUAUCUUUAUUUAUUAGUAUAUUUAUGACCUUGUAAAAAGGAUCGAUUAUCAGAACCAACAAAAGAAUUUACAAGUACAUUUGUACUUGCGUGGAUAUACAAUUAAUGUCACGCAGAUGAGCUCGUUUUCGUCAAUCAAUAUGUUGCUCUAACAGUUACUUUUUCUAAGAAGUCUUUGAACGACAAGGUACUGUGUUCGUUUUUCGCAAACUCGUUUCCGAAGUAAGAGUACAUAAUCAAUUUUCUAUAAACAUUAGGUGUGAACAUGCUAGACAUCCCACAUUUACACUUUAGAUUUGAUAUCUCGGUGGAUUCACCGAAUUACACACAUACACUAUUGUCUAUCUUUCUGAUCACGUCCGGGAGUUGUGACUCCUAUUUAUAGUCAAACCGAUACUUGAAGAUAAAAACAACAGGUAUUUAUUUACAUGACAAAUGGCGGCAUUCCUAGGCUUACUUUACUGAAGGCAGGCUCGGAAUGAAGUAUUGAUUGCUGACGGAAAUAUGACAUAUUUUUUCAGAGCUAUUUGAAAAGGUUCUCGUUUUUUGCACCAAACUGAAGUCAUUAUUUCUUGACGGCAGAUUUGUUCCAUUAUUUUACCUCGGACUAUUUCAGUCGAAUCGGAAUUGAAAUAAAACAUUUCUCGUAGCUUAAUUACAUAAUAUCUGUUGUCCAACAGAAGGUGUUAUCAGCAUAUGAAAUAAAAGCUGUGCGGUCAACAGACGAAUUAUAUAAAACAAAUGUCAUCUGCAUUUUUUUUAACAAAUUUAACUAUUUAGAAGUUAUCCAACUUCCCUGUCCAAGUUUUAAUUCCUUUUAGACAUUUAGACCCAGGUUUUAGAAGACUUACAACGAGUUUAUCAGCCGGCAAGCCUUAAAUAAAUCUUGAAGACAAAUAAUUAUUAUGUAUGUGCAUUCCAUGGAAUAUAAGCCAAACAACCAAUCAUAAUUAGAACCCAGUAGGUCAAUGUACAUGGAUAAUGGGACCUUAUCGUACAGUACUCUUUCUGGGGCCUCAUUGGCCGAGUGGUUAAAACCGCUGAUUUCGGCAUCACUUGUCCGUCACCGACGUGCAUUCAAGUUUCGCUUGGAGUGUAGAACUCUUCACAUGAGGAAGCCAUCCAGCUCGGUGAUUCUAUUUAGGUGUCCGCUUGUGAUGAAUAAUAUCCGGCGGGGCAUCUGGAGUCUCCCACCAGCAUCAAAAGCUGAAAACUCAUAUUUUCAAAGCCAUAUUUUCUGUCGGUAAAAAAAAUCGUACUGUAACUAGCAAUCAAUAUGUCGAAAGUUCGCCCCCCCCCUACCACCACCACCACACACACACUGAAGGACUGUGUGGUAGCUCCUUCAAGUCUCGUUUCUGAUAUACACAGUAUAGUGUCCCUCUUCGAUCGACAUUGCCGCCUGUAGUUUACCACUUGUCGCCUUCAAUGUUGCCGAUUGCCGAAGUCGUUGGUUAUGAAUGUAAACACGAGUUGAAUGGGUGACAGGAGCCUGUUUGUUAAAGGUACAGAGUAACCACAAGUCUGAAGUACCUCAUCUUGUUAGUCCAAUGACCUUUGUAAAGCCACUCCUUCAAGUUUUAAUCGAGACACCGAAUGCUGCACCUAAAUAUAAUUAUGCUGUACAGUUGUCUAUGUCCUGUGACUUCUCAGCAUCUCCUGGAGACAUGAGAGAAGUAAUUUACAGAUUUACAAAUUCAUGAACCUUUAACACACCCUUCAACAUAAGUUAACUGCCAAAGCCACGUGUCAAACAACAUUUUUAAAUUUUCUGAUCAAAUCAGAUUUCUUACUUCGUUUGGUUUUAAUUAAGCAAAACUAAUGUAUUGCCUCACCGUAAGUCUUAUCGAAUGACUCCAUACCGAAUCUAACAUUUGCAAAAUUGUGAUUUUUGAACCAUAUAAAUAUAAAGUAAUGUACUCUGUAGAAACAAUUUCUUAGAAUUUACUUCACCCUCUUUAGUACUAUACCUUACGUUUUGAAUGCCACCCUUAGGGUUCCGAAUGUCACUUAAAUGCCCCUGAAUAUCUUUAUCUCACUACGAUAGUAACAGUCUCAAUUUCUUGACCGUCCUUCCCAUAGAAUAACUCUUUAUACUCGUAUAUUACUUGCUGAGUUCGAACGCUUUUCUGAAGCCUGAAUAUCACUUUGGGGUGGAGAUGGGAUAGAUUGUCUCUCUACUAAUAUCUCUCUAUGUUUCCGAAUAUCAACCAACUCGAUGAUCUUUAACAUAUCUCUUGUGGUCCCUAAAUAGUGCUCCUUUGAGGUAGAUUGGACUGUCAAAGAGCCAUGAAUGUCAUUUUUGUCUUGAAGAAUGAAACUGAAUUACACAAAUAGUAAUACAUGUAUAUAGGCAUCUUUAUUUCAAAUAAAAAAAAUACCCAUCAAGUCAGCCUUUCUCUCUGAAAAUAUACAUCACUGUACAAUUUAUAUUUAUUUCAAAUAGCCAUCAAGUCAGUCAUUCUCACUGAAAAUAUACAUGACUGCACAAGUUAUAUUUAUUUCAAAUAACCAUCAAGUCAGCCGUUCUCAAUGAAAUUAUAUACCGAACGAGAAUACGAAACUUGACAAACAGGCCACAGAUACUUGGGGUUUGGACCAGCUACGACCCUGCCCUGGUCUAAAAUUUGACCAAAUGCAACAAAGAUUUACAACAUCACUAUCUAGAAGAUAAGAGAUCAGAAGGUAUUUCUAUAAUUUAAAAAAGUGGACUGAUUUUGAUUAAAUUGUUAUUUUGGGAGCUGUUAUGGUGUUGUUCAAUGGUCCUGGUUGCAUUUGGCCAGAUUGUAGACCAUGGCAGGGUCGUAGAUGUUCCAAACCAAAAGUAUCUGUGAACAGGCUUGGAAGAGUGCUAUUUAAUUACGUCGGGGAUUUAUUUCAAACCUACAUGAUAUACAAACUUCCCUUUGAAAAGACGUGCAUGUUAAUUGGGUUGAUAAAUUCGCCAUGAUGCUUUUAUUUAACUUUAAUUUGAGAUAUCAUAGCCGGGAAAUAACUCCUUAUAUGUGCAAAAAGGAAAGGCUACCUGUGGUUUUAGAGAGCCAGAAGGUAUUGAUACAUAGACGGCACUCUAGAAAAAACAACUGACAUACUAGUAUUACAAAAAUACUGUAUGCAUUUUUGAUGACAUCGUUUGCAAAGAUAGUUUUUUGGUACACUUGGUGAGCUCAUUAACGACAAUGAAAUGAGACGACACUCUUUUGCCCAUGUUUUAAUGAUUCUUGCAAAAACUUCAUUUAUUAAUUUUGAGAAUCGAUUGGUCUAUGUAUCAUGUCUAUUUUGAAUGUCUUGGCAAUAUUUGUGAUCGGCCAGAAAAAAUGUUGGU
rnacentral:lncRNA from 1 species